rnacentral:lncRNA from 1 species
UAUUGAGGAUUACACUGGACUCCUUAAUUGGCCAUUUUAAUUAUUCGAUGUCACCUUCACCACUGUUCACUUACCACUGAUUUCAACGUUUUCGAUCUUUGUGCACCAAAUAAUAAUAAUAAUAAUAAUAAUAAGAGCUACGAUUAUAAUUAAAAAAAUAUGGCUUCCAAGCGAGAAGGAAAAUCCCUGAGGUUAUAAUAAAACAGAAAUUUUUGAAGGAAAAGGUUAGAAGACACCGAGUCUCUUCUUCAGUCUCACUCUUCUCACCCUUGGAAAGAUCACACGUUUUUGAUCAAAUGGAUGUAUGACUAAUACUCGUGAAAGGAAACGGUACAUCGACUAUGGAAGUGGAAGAUGUCUCUUCUUUUCAAUUUCCUCUUCUUAACGUGCCGAUGUGAUACAUCGUUUCAACAAGAAUGUGUCGCGAACAAAAGUAGUAUUAACGAUAUUCAAACGUCAGCUACACGGUUUGAUUGACUCCACACGAUAUUUGAAUGCUGUACUUUAGUAAGUCUCUUUCGUUUUCUGAAAAUAACGACUACUGAUUGCUGUAAUUUAUAGAAUACAUACGAUCAAAUUGAAAACUAUGGAUCAUCGCGUGGAUGUUGAUGAACAUAGGAACUGGAUUUUGACGCCUAAAACGUUGUGUAGCUUUGCACGAAACUCUCGAAUCUAUAAAUAUCAGCCUGUUGAAUACCGCCCGCCAUCGAGUCGAGUAGCGCCGCGCGCGGGAAAUAUUAGAAUGCGCUAUCCGGCGCGUUUUCCAGCCUGGAAAAGCGAAUGGAUUCCAGAAAAACUUCUGGACAGGUUAAAAAAAUAGAUCCAUGUAAUAUAUAAGAAAAAACUUGUACAUUUCAGACAAGCUUGACUCUGGUUGCUUUUUUUUUAAAUAAGUUUGAAUAGUAUAAAAAAAGAAACACACACUAACGAUUGAUUUUUUUUUAUGCAAACGAAUGUAUUUGUUCGAUGUGUAAUUAACGAUGUGUACAAUGAGUUCGUUUCCUUACAUGUCAAGUACAGAAAAACAAUUACUCAUUAUUUGUAUCGUGAAUAGAAUUUUUUUCUACGUUAAUUAAUAUCUUUGCUGUUCCAUUACUGCACAUUGCAUUAAAGAGCAAUUUCGUGAUUGACUCCCCUCAUUCCUCCUCGUGGAACAAACGAGCGAUUGUCGUAUUGAUAAAUAUCGUUAAGCAGAAAAUUAAAGAGAGAAGCCGUUUUAUACACAGCCUUUGAAAUACCGCGAGGAAAUUGUCCAAUUUUCUUCGGUACUAUAUACAUUUAAAGUAAAAUACAAAUAGUUACAGAUUCGAUCAUGGAAUAAUCUGAACAUUAUGUGCUCGUGAUAGAACCUUAUGUAAU